rnacentral:rRNA from 1 species
AUUGGAUUGAGAACAAUGUACAACUCUUAUCGAUAAGCCAUUGGAGGGCAAGUCUGGUGCCAGCAGCCGCGGUAAUUCCAGCUCCAAUAGCGUAUAUUAACGUUGUUGCAGUUAAAAAGCUCGUAGUUGAAGUGUGGGUGAUCGCUGUUGUGAGACUUCGGUCUCUCGAUAGUAAGUCACCCCCUUCCAGUAUCCAGUAGUGGGUAUUCACUUACUUACUACUGUGUGUUGGUCCUUUACUGUGAGAAAAUUAGAGUGUUCAAAGCAGGCGUUUGCUUGAAUAGAUUAGCAUGGAAUAAUAAUUGAAGGCUUUCGUGUUCGAUUUGAUUGGUUUGUUCAUGGAAGCAAGGUUAAAAGGAACAGUUGGGGGUAUUCAUAUUCACUAGUUAGAGGUGAAAUUCUCGGAUUUAUGGAAGAUGAACAAGUGCGAAAGCAA